CAAAUACAGCAAACAGUAGCCGAAUGCCCCACCCCUGCGCUUUUCUCUUCUUCUCCGUGUGAACCAGACAGCAGCAGUGCACGUUCUCCUUCUCCCUCACGAUUCAACAAACAGCAACGUCCACAACUUUCUCUGCAACAGCUGCCCACCUUGAUCUUUUCAUCUGGAUUUUAGUGGAUUUCGUUUGAAAUCUUGUACAAAGAAUAGUUUUCCCAUCCUUGGGGAAAAAAAAUUGAAUUUGGGGAUUCCAUUGGAAUUCCUGUUCUACCCUUACCCUUUCCGAUUUCCCCCCCGAGAAUUGAACCCAAUUUUUCCCAUCUAUAUAAACCUCUUCUACUUCACUGUAAAAGAAAAAGAGGGGAAUUUUUUUUGGGAGAGCAAAAAAUACUAAGAUCAAUUUAAGCAAAGUAGUCAAAUACAUACAAAAAUACACUUCUAGAAAAGCAGAGGAGAUACUUAGUUUCAGGGUCGAGUCAGACAUUUCUGCCUAUAUAUCUCAACUGUUGUUUGUGUUUGAGCCUUAGAGCGGUGGAAUCGCUCUUCUCAUCGUCCUAGUAUCGCUGCACCGGAAAAGGCCUAAAUCUCCCUCUUAUCGAGUCAACCUCAUCAUUGGGAGCAUAUGAAGUUCGAAGAGGAAAUCUAUGUUAUAAAAGAAGCUGAAACAGGUCUCAAAAAGCCCAAAAAGAGGUUGUAUACAGCUGUAUGCAUUGAUAUACAGGUCAAAAACACAGGAACACAGGGCGGAGGUGAAACACGGAUGUUCGGAAGCAAGAUAUACAUGAAAAACACCUAUACACACGCUGAUAUACACUGACAUACAUCAGGUGUAUACAAAAAGGGGAAUUGGGUUAAGCCCAAUAGUAGCAGCGAAUUUGGCCCAAAAAGGGCCCAAAUUCAUUUCUCCUUUA